rnacentral:lncRNA from 1 species
CGUAUGUACAGCUAGCUUUUAUUACAAUGUAUCAACGGCUGGAAUAAAGAACUAAAAAGCAGGCCCAUCAAGUUUGUGAAUGCUACAAAGCUGGAGAGUGUAGCUAAUAAUGACAAAGGACAGAUCAAGUUUCUAGGAGAUCUUGAGACUGGUUGGAAAAUGGGGAUGAAACCUCUAAGGAAGGCUUUGGGAAAGCUAAAGGCACAAGUUUGGACUGGAGAAGAUUCGGGAGUUUUUGUUGGCUGGAGACUCACUGCGACUGGGGUUGACAAAGAAGUUAGCGCAACCAUGGGCUCUCCUGACAGAGGUGUAGAAGAAGUCGCCUUGGGCUUGCCUGCAUGGCCACAUGAACACUGGGCUCCAUAAGAAGGUUAUUUAAGAGGGUCACUGACAAACUGGAGGCAGGGUAAGUGGUUGAGAAAUCAUGGUCUACAUCAGGGGUUAUAUGUCAUCAUGGUAACAUGAUGGCGCUCUUCACAUAAUUAAAUGGUCAGAAGGAUGAGGAGGUGCAUCAUCUAUGUGGAGAGGGGCAGAGCCAGAGGUAGGCCAGUGAAUGGAAACUAGAGGGAUGCAGAGUUUAGCUGUAAAAAUGGGGGCGGGAGGCCUUGUGAGGCAGUUUGCUUCUUCUCAUCAGAUCACAGUAGCCUGACCUCCUGGUGGGGCCUGCACAGGGGGUCCUGCACUGUGUGGGAUUGGAGCUAAGGGAGGUCACUUGACUGACACCAGCAAUCUAGGAAAUGAGAGAAUGUGUGUGAUGCAAACUAUAAAUGUUCUGUAAACCUAAGGUCAUACUGUUAGAGGGAGGAGACAGGGAAGAUGCCUAAGCUUUCCUUCAGCAAUCUGCACUUUCCACUGUUCCCAUGUAAGGGGUAAAAGCAUCUGUCUAUAUUCACUCUCCACUAGUCUUAGAGUCAGUCUAUGCUCUGCCCAUCCCUCUGAAUAUGACUGGAGAUAAUGAUGUUGCUUUGUCAAGACUCCUAAGCGUGUUUUAUUUCCAUCUCACAACUGAGGUCGUUGACGUACCAAAGACUUCAAGGUGGGGAAGAAAUUCAGAGGCAACUCCUGAAAAGGCUCACCCUUGAGUGUGAGUCUGUUCUAGAGAUAUUGCCUGGAAAGAGGUAAAGGGGACAACAUUGGGCCCAUUUGCAGUUGCAGAAAUUGAGACUCAGAGCGGUGAAGUGACAUUUUCAGAAUCCCAGCAGGAAAUGGUAGAGUUAGGAAGCUAAGUCUGAUCAUCUGCUCUUGUCCUGUUGAGGAGAUAGUGAGAGAAAAGGAAAAUGGUGACAACGGGGGAAUGAAAUCCAUCCCAUCCUGCUGCUACUCCUUCCCCAACUCUUGCUAAGACUUCAGAGUAACGGGAAGAAGAGGACACAUAAGUGGUGACAUGCUAGGGUUGGAAGAGCUGCGUGCAUGUCUUGGAGAGGAGGCGGGCAAAGCACGUGACAGCGUGAAGAGAGUGGGUCGCAGUCUCAGAAACAGGAUCAUGGAAAUGGCCUUGGAGGACCAGAGCAGGAAGACUAUGAUCUUCCAAGUAACUCUAGGCAACAUGGGUGUAGAGACUGGAUUUGGCCAGGGAAGUGGACAUUUGUUUCAGUUUCCAGCAUCCAGCAUUCAUUUGCUUUCAGUUGUCCAGCAUUCAUUUACUUUUCUUCUGAUAACCACAUCCUAACUUCCUGCUUGGGAACUACCACGGAUCCUAUUCUCAAUCUAUGGGUUUCUGGCGAGCUGAAUCUACUUCUGGACCAGGAAUCAAGAACCUGACCUGGGCUCAAGCUAAUCACUCUGUCAAAUUUCUCUAGGCAAAGUGAUUGGUUUAGGAAUAGGCAGCGACCCAAUUAGAGCCAAUGAGAUUUUCCCAGGUGUUUUGGAACAAAGACAUUCAUUUUCUGCUGGAUGCAGACCUGGAAGGGUAUAGUUCUGGGAGUUGCUGACAGCCAUUUUAUGAUCAUGAGUCUAUUUAAGAGUGGCUUGAACAUUCAACAUGAAGUGGAGCAGAGAGAUGGAAAUAAAGCUGGAUCCUGAUGAACUUCAUUUGAAAUCUUGUAUACAAUGAUCUUCCUGCUGAAAUUUUCAGUUAGGUGAGCCAAUAAAAUUUUUUUUGUUUAGCUCAAUUUGGGUCACGUCUUCUCCCAGUGGCAGUCAAAUGGAUCCUGUUUCAUAAAGUAAGAUUUUAACUUUACAUAAACUGUCUGCAGAGUAAAUGUUUGUCAGAUACUUUUCGUAUAACGGCACUUCUUUUUUUGUAGAAUUAUGUUAGGAAACUUUGUAGAGGGCUUCUGCUUCUGGCUACAGACUACCCUCCUGUCAAGAACAACCAUAAAAGCUGUCUUUAAAAAUACAGCUGUUUGACAGUAUGAAGAAAUGUCAAGGCUGGCAGGACUGGAGGGAGUUGGGUCUCUGAGAGAAUGAAAUACAAUUCCAAUCGAAAGUCCAGAUUUUUGUGGAAAUUGACAAAUUAAUUUUAAAAUUUGUAUGGAAGCACAAAAGAACAAAAAGAGCAAAGACUAUCUUGAAGAAGAAAAAAACAUUAUCUUAACACUACCAAAUGUGAAGACUCGUUACAAAGCUACAGCAAUUAAAACAGUAUGGUACUGUCUCAAGUGUAGAAAACAGACAAAUAGAACAAAGGAAGAGUCCAGGAGUAGAGAGUCAUUUGAUUUCCAACAAAGGUGCCUCUGCAGUGCAGUGGGGAAAAGAUAGUCUUUUCAGUAACCCAUGUCCUAGGUCAAUUGAGGACAUGUUUGAGAAGAAGUGAGCAUUGCCCCCUGCCUCACACUAUACACAAAAAUCACUUUCAGAUGAAUUACAGACUUCAAUGUGAAAGAGAAACAGUGAAGCUUCUAGAAGAUAAUCUAAAUAUCUUCAUCACCUUGGAGUAGGCACUCAUGUCUUAAGCAGGCCAGAAAACACACUAUCUUCAAGAAAAAUAUUGAAGAAUUCAAUUCCUUAUAUUGAAAAAUCAGCCACUUGACUGAAUUGGACUUGAUUAAAAAUAAAAGCUUGUAUUUGUUAAAAGAAACCAUUAAAUAAAUGGAAAUACAAGUAAUGGUGUGGAACAAGACAUUUGCUAUGUAUAUACAAACAUCCUACUAUGGACUUGUAUCCAGACUACAUAAAGACUUUCUAUAUGUCCAUAAGAAGAUCACAGAGAGCUCUUUCUUUUUCAAAGGAGGGUGCCAAAGACUUAAACUUCCUUUACAAAAGAAGUGAUAGACGUCACAGUGGUAACCUUUGCAGAUGGCGUUGACUGAGGCAGGGGCAUGAGAAAGCUUGGUGUGCUGAAAAUGUCCUACAUCUUGUUCUAGGCGGUAGCUUGGGUACGUACCUUAUGUAAAAAUUCACUGAUCUGUACACUUAAGUUUUGUGCACUUUAUUGUGUGUAUAUUAUUAUUCAAUAACAAGAUUUUCAAAAAUAAAAAAGGCAAGUAUCUAUAGUGAAGAAGGCUUAUAAAUGGAGCAGUCAGAACUGUUCAGUGGGGUCUAAUUUAUCUACCUAUGCAGGUGAGGAGCCAAUGUUAAAUGAAGCUGGCUAGCCUGUAAUCUAACCUGGCCCUUCUGUUGGAAGAGCAUGUUUCAGUUCAAUUUGGGACAAUAGUUUAGUGAGCAUCUGCAAUGUGCUCUGCUACUAUGAUGGGUGCUAGGGAUACUAAAAUGACUAAGUUGCAGUUUAUGCCUUAAAGAACUUAUCGUCUAGCAGGGAGACAAGCUACUAAAUGGAUAAUUAUGAUUGGUAUGAGGAGGGUGAUGAUAAGGGUCCCAUAGGAGCACAGAUUUGGGGUGUCUAACCCACUCUGGUAUGUGAUAGACUGUGAUAGAUCACACCAGUCAUUGCUAAACUCCUUCUCAUUUGCUCUCUUCUACUACAGAGGCUAAGAAAUUCUCAAUAUUCACUUUUUCUAUGUCCCUUGCAGUUGGGGUGGCCAACUGACAUAGCUGUGCCCAGUGAGAUAUAAAAAGAAGUCCACUGUGGAGUUUUUGGUAUAGUUUUUGCUUUCCCCUCUUUUAUUCCUGCCUUGAACAUAGAUGUGAUGUCAGAAGCCAUCUUGACACUAUGAGGCCACACAAUUAAAGAAGAAUACUAACCUUCAGGGACGACAGAAUGAAAGAUGGAAGGAUUCUGGGUCUCUGAUGUCAUCACUGAGAGGCUAAACCAACACCAGCAACUGCCUACCUUCUCACCUCUUGGAUAAGAAAAAUAACCCCCAACUUGUUUAAAUUGCAGUCAGCCAGGUUUCUGUUGCUUGCAGCUGAUGAACACAUUUAUAACUGAGUAUAAGGCAGAUGAGCAGGUAUUCAGGAAAGGCUUCCCCAAGAGUCCUGUCUAAGCUGAGCCGUGCAGGAUGAAUGGGUGUAACCCGGGGGAGUGGUAGUGCCAGAGGGAAGGUUCUCCAAGCAGGGGAGAGGCACAAAAAGAGAUGAAAGAGGACAGGAUACUAGCAGAGAAUUACAAAAGUUUAGUUUGGCUAAAGCAUUCGAUGGGAAUUGGGGAAAGCUGAAGCUGAAGCAAUAGCCAAAGGUCAACUUAUAAAGACUAUCGUAAACCCCAUAAAAGCAGCUGGACUUGAGCCGGCCCUGAUGGCCUAUCAGUUAAGGUUCGGUGCUCUCCCCACUUCAGUGUUCUGGGUUUGCUUCCCAGUCGUGGAGCCACACCACCUGUCUGUCAGUUGCCAGGCUGCAGCUGCAGCUCACAUAGAAGAACUAGAAGGACUUAUAACUGGGAUAUACACCCACACUGGAGCUUUGGGAAGAAAAAAAAAGGAAGUUGGACUCUAUCUUAAACUUCAGUAGGGAACGACCAAAGGCUUAUAAUCAAAGAGGACGAUAUGAUAAGAUUUGUCUUUUAGAAAGAUUAUUCUGGAGCAUGGAGAGUGGUUCAGAGAGAGCAAGCCCAUAGGGACGGCAGUUAGAAACCUAGUUCAGUAAUACAGUUGAGAGAUGACAGUACUUACUAGGAGCCAGUUGUCAUUUUAAAUGCUAUACCUGUAUGAUGGCAAAGGGGAUGGGAACAAUUGGAUUACUUUGAGAGCUAUUAAGGAGAUAAAAUACGGAAUAUCUGAUGACUGGCUAGACAAAAGGAGCAAGGGAGAAGGAGAAGUCAGAAUAACUUGGUGUUUGUGACGUGGUUAUGAGUGAAUGGUGACACCUUUCACUGAAUUUAGGGACAUGGUAGGUAGUGAAGCGUGUUUCGGUGGAGGAGGUAAAGUAAUGGAUUAGGUUUUGGACACAUUGAUUUUGAACUGUGACUGGGACCUCUAACUGGAGAUGUCGGUCCAGGGAUAAAGAAAGAAAUCAAAGCAGAGUUAUAGAUUUGGGAGUUACCAGGUGCCUGGGACAGGCACCUCCUCAGAUUCUCUUGGCACCACUGCCUGUUGGACCCUCAACCACUUGUUCUUCUCCAAAUGGGGUCAUUGCCAGUUGACUGAAUCUGCUUGCACUUGUGCAAUUGUGCCAGGCCCUCCUCCUCAGCUGCCACCAUACAAUCAUGCCAAAAGGCAACAUACUGUAGAUUGUGGCUCCUCCAAUCACUUCCAGACUUGGGAGAAAUGGCUCACGAAAGCUCAUGGGUCCUGGCAUUCCAAAUGGCCACCAAAGAUGCCAAGUGAUGCAAUCUGAAAAUGCAAGGGAGGUAACUCCCCAAGGAGUAAAUGUUGACCAAGGGAUGAUAGGAGACCGGAGGAAAUUCCUCUGUCUUAUGAACUGAUACAAGGCAUAGUGUGUCCAUAUAACCUGUUUGGAAACAUCCAUGUGGUCAAGUAGACAUACUCACUAAUAACCUGUGUGUCUUGUCACAAUUCAUUGUGAAGCAGUUGACUAGUGUGGUAAUGUAUUUGUUUCACAUUCUUCCCUCCCUCGAUUCCCAAAUAGAGUAUUGGCACUUAAUCCCUGCCUCAGGCUCUGUUUUUGAAGAAAUCUGAUCAAAGUUAGCAGUUGAUUGGUAAUAGUUGAAGCCACAGCCAACAAUGAAUGAGCAGAAUAUGAAGAGAGGUGAGCCUCACAAGAGCUAUAACGAAUACCAGCAGGUAAGGUAUGAGGGAGAAAGAGAAACCAAAGAAGAAGACCAACAUAGAGAAGUCAAAGACACAGGAGGAGCCCUUCUUCAGGGGGCAAUAACUGAAUCUCAGUGGAUGUAAUUAACAAAGUCUAAGGACAUGGGUCACAGAUCUUGUAAAUGGCAUGAGGGAAAGCAGAAACAAAUUGCCCCAUGCUUGUCUUGUGUAUUUUUUUUCAUUGUUAUAUAUCUACUCUUUGAUUAUUUAACUUAAUAUACAAAAAACAUAAAUCUUUGUCUCAAAUAGAUAUUACUGUAACACCCCACCAGCUUGAGGAUCUUCAUUAAAGUGGAUCACAUUAAUAGUGUGUUUUGAUGUCCCUAGAAUCAAUAGCCCCCAUCAACCAAAUGGCAAAGUCCCUCCUUCCCCUGUAUGGCUCUAAGAGCCCUAAAGACAGGAGAGGAGUGGAUCACAUAAAAUUUCUGCCACUGUCAGAAUCACAACCAGCCCUCUGCACCAGCUGCAGCCUUCACUUUCCUUCAUAGCCACUGUUUCCAUCCUUUUUCUUGGCCUAUUGAUGCCACCUGCCCCAUCUCCCCCCAUGCCUCGUUGAUUCUUCCCUGUCUAUCCUCUGGGGGUGUCUGCUGCCAGCACCUGGAACCCCGGCACUGGCUGCCUCCAGAUCUCCAGUACUUUAGUCUACCUGUCAUUUUGGUGUCUACUGCAGAAAAUGACCCAUGGUGAGUUCUUGAUAAAUGCCCAUUAAAUGAAGUAUCGAGUGGAGGAAACAAAGUGAUAAUAAUGGAUGGGAGGUUGGUGUGGGUGCGGCAUAGGCAGCACUCAUGGGACCAGGGAGAGAGAAAAGACCGUUUUCUUCUAUAGUAAAUUUUAGCCAAUGAUACACAAUCCUAUGUCAAGGAAGAAAGAAGCCACGGCAGGUUUGAGGAAAAGGCUAAUGUGAGUGAAGCCAGGGAGACUCUGAAAGUUGAUGAGGAGGCAAGUUAUACUCUUGUGAUGACUUUGGCCUUUUAUCUUGUAUAACUUCAUUCAAAAUCUCUGUCCCUCUGUUUUGUAGAUAUUUUGAGAAUUGGAACAAUCUUAUAUUUGUUAUUAGUCAACAACCAGUAUAUCUCACUUUUUCAAUUUUGGAGUUCUGCCUUCCUCAGGGGAUGAGAAAGCUGUAAUAGUUAAAACAGUGUGAUACUGGUGAAUCAAUAAAUAAUAGAGCAAUAAAAAGUUCUGGGUUGAAAGUCCAGGAAUAAACCCAAAAAUCUAUGGAUAUAGAACAUGAGAAAGGCGAUUUUCAAAUUAUUAUGUAUAAAAAAUUAUUGUAUAAAAAUCAAUUAUUCUGUAAGUGGUAUUGGAACAAAUUGGCAGCCAUCUGGAAACAGUAGAGUAGCAUCCUAUAUUAGCUAUGUCAAGUCAUGCUCACUGCUAUAACAAAUAAACCCAAAGUUCUCAGUGACCUAACACAAUUAAGGUUUAUUCUUGUGUACGUUAAGUACACUUGUCUGUUGCUGGUUGUACAAUCUUCCAUGUGGUCAUUCAGGGACACAAGCUCUGUUCAUCCGGAUAUUCCCUAGCAUUGUGCUGUCCAAUAUGUUGGCCACUAGCUCCAUAUGGCUAUUGAGCCCUUGGAAUGUGGCCAGUGCAAAGUGAGAUGUGCCAUUAGUAUAAAAUAUGCAUCAGAUUUCAAAGACAUAGUAUGAAGAAAAAAAUGUAAAAUAUUUCAUUAAUACAUUUCAUGGUGAUUACUUGUCGAAAUGAUAAUAUUUUAGAUAUAUUGGGUUAAAUAAAAUAUAUUAUUACAAUUAAUUUCACCUACUUUUUAAUUUUUCUUAACAUGACUACUAGGAAAUGUAGAAUGACACGUCUUGCUUUUAUGGCUCACAUUUAUUUCUUUUGGACGGCAUUGCUCUAGAUCACCCGAAUAUUCUCCAUGGUGAAUAGACAUGGCAGAUAGGGAAAGAGAGAGGAAGGGAGGGUCACAUUACUUUCCUUCACAUUCCAUUGGCCAGAACUCAGUUAUAUGUCCACACCUACCUGCAAGGGAAGAGGGAAAACGUAGUUUAGCUGUGUGCCCAAGACAAAGGGGAAAUGGAUUUUAUUAACAGCUAGUUAGACUCUUCCACAAAUUCCUAAUUCAUGCCUUACACCAACAUUAAUUAUAGAGGAAUGAAAGAGUAAGAUGUUAAAAGGAAAGGAAAGAAGGAAGGAAGAAAGGAAGGAAGAAGAAAACCUGGGAGAUUUUUUUUUAAUUUUUAAAAAUAGCUUUAAAAUAAUUUUCAGAAAUAUUUUUUAGAAUUAUUAAAAAAUAACCUCAGAAUAAAGACGGUCUUUCUAAGUAUAACUCAAAAUAUAGAAGACAUAGAAGAAAAAGAAUGAUACAUUUAACUAAUUUUAAAAUUAAAAAAAUUCUUCACAGCAAAACAAAACAACACACCAUAAAAAAAGUAAAGACAAGUCAAAUUCUAACUGGGAAAAAUCUAGCACAUUGGUAUUUCAACCAAAGUGUAAAUUUUCUAAAGUAUAAAGAACUCUUACAAGUCAAUUUUAAAAGAGCAAAAACACCCAAUAGAAUAACAAGCAAAGAAAGUGAACAGACAGCUCACAGAAAAGGGAUAAAAUGGUUCUUAAAAGUAUGAAAAGAUUCUUGCCUUCACUUAGAAUAAGAGAAAUGCAAAACUACGUUUUUAACUUGUCAGACUGGCAAAGACGAAAAGUCGAUGGCACAUUGUGCUGGAAGGGUGUGAGGUCACGCUGGUGGGAGUAUACAUUGGUCUAACCUCUAUGAAGAGCAAUGAGCAGUAAAAGUUAGCAUAUCCUUACCCUUUGAGCCAGUAAGCCCACUUCCAGAAAUUGCCCUAUAGGAAUUUAUGUACGGAUAUACUUGUACGUAAAUGAAAAGACAAUCUACAAUUAGUCCACAAGUAGUCGUGGCAAAAGACUAGAAAUACUUAACCGGUGUGGAAACAGGCAAAUCCAAUGGAAUACUAUGGAGCUAUAAAAAGAAUGAGGUCUAAUGUAUAUAGCCAUGGAAUAGUAGUCAGGAUACACUCUUAAAUGACCCCAAAAGCAAUGUAAGAACAGUAUGUAGAGUAUGGAGGAGUAGAACAGAGACUGACUUCCGGGAGAGGAAUGGGGAUAAAUUCUAAAGAAGGUAAUUAGGCGGCUGGAGGAAGGAGAUGUGAAAGCAUUUCCUUUUAUAAUACGCCCUCCUUUUAAAUUUUGUGCUGUUUGAAUUUUGUACAGUGUGUAUAUAUUGCCCAUUCAAAAAAGUCAAUAAUGUAUAUUUUUAACUUUUGGAAGCAAAUGUGCUAUUUGGGUCCUCUGAAAAGCAAACCCCGAGGAGACUAGAAAUUCAAGUUAUUUAUUGGGGAAAAUCAGGAGGGAGCCAGAAGGCAGCAGGGAGAGCCCUCAGAUGAAGGUCUGACCCCCUCCUCGAAGAGGAGAGGCAAGUUCUGACAAGGUCAGUGCGAGUCCUUGAGCUAAAACCGCCAGUCAGAAGAUCCCAUCUCCCACAGGAAUGGGCCUGCCUCAGCCUCCCCGCCUCGCUUAGUCAUUGGCUGGGAGCAGCGCCUGGAAACGCAGCCUCAGAACAGUCGAUGGGUUCAGAGCACAGCAGCUGUGGCUCCUGACCAGUUGCGCUCCCUGCACCAGAUCUCGCGGCCGCAGCAACUCCAAAAUCUGUUCUAUCCAUCCCUUUACCGAAGUUUGCAAAUACUUUUUUUUUUUAAGAUUUUAUUUUUCCUUUUUCUCCCUAUAGCCCCCCCCCCCCCCCCGUACGCCGCUGUAUAUUAUUAGUUGUGGGUCCUUCUAGUUGUGACAUGUGGGAUGCUGCCUCAGCAUGACCUGAUGAGUGGUGCCAAGUCUACGCCAAGGAUCCGAACUGGCGAUAUCCGGACUGCCGAAGCAGAGCGCAGGAACCCAACCACACAGCCACCAGGCUGGCCCAAUACUUCUCUUAUAUAAUGACUUACUUUGGCUUUAUAGUUGUAGUGACUUGGAC